UACGUAGGUGGCGAGCGUUGUCCGGAUUUACUGGGCGUAAAGAGCGCGCAGGCGGUCGUUCAAGUCGCGUGUGAAAGCCCCCGGCUCAACUGGGGAGGGUCAUUCGAUACUGAUCGACUUGAAGGCAGGAGAGGGAAGUGGAAUUCCGGGUGUAGUGGUGAAAUGCGUAGAUAUCCGGAGGAACACCAGUGGCGAAGGCGACUUCCUGGCCUGUUCUUGACGCUGAGGCGCGAAAGCUGGGGGAGCAAACGGG
rnacentral:rRNA from 1 species